GACGAACGCUGGCGGCGUGCCUAAUACAUGCAAGUUGAGCGCUGAAGGUUGGUACUUGUACCCACUGGAUGAGCAGCGAACGGGUGAGUAACGCGUGGGGAAUCUGCCUUUGAGCGGGGGACAACAUUUGGAAACGAAUGCUAAUACCGCAUAAAAACUUUAAACACAAGUUUUAAGUUUGAAAGAUGCAAUUGCAUCACUCAAAGAUGAUCCCGCGUUGUAUUAGCUAGUUGGUGAGGUAAAGGCUCACCAAGGCGAUGAUACAUAGCCGACCUGAGAGGGUGAUCGGCCACAUUGGGACUGAGACACGGCCCAAACUCCUACGGGAGGCAGCAGUAGGGAAUCUUCGGCAAUGGACGAAAGUCUGACCGAGCAACGCCGCGUGAGUGAAGAAGGUUUUCGGAUCGUAAAACUCUGUUGGUAGAGAAGAACGUUGGUGAGAGUGGAAAGCUCAUAAAGUGACGGUAACUACCCAGAAAGGGACGGCUAACUACGUG
rnacentral:rRNA from 1 species